GCAAGGGGGUCAUCCCGACUUACCAACCCGAUGCAAACUGCGAAUACCGGAGAAUGUUAUCACGGGAGACACACGGCGGGUGCUAACGUCCGUCGUGAAGAGGGAAACAACCCAGACCGCCAGCUAAGGUCCCAAAGUCAUGGUUAAGUGGGAAACGAUGUGGGAAGGCCCAGACAGCCAGGAUGUUGGCUUAGAAGCAGCCAUCAUUUAAAGAAAGCGUAAUAGCUCACUGGUCGAGUCGGCCUGCGCGGAAGAUGUAACGGGGCUAAACCAUGCACCGAAGCUGCGGCAGCGACGCUUAUGCGUUGUUGGGUAGGGGAGCGUUCUGUAAGCCUGCGAAGGUGUGCUGUGAGGCAUGCUGGAGGUAUCAGAAGUGCGAAUGCUGACAUAAGUAACGAUAAAGCGGGUGAAAAGCCCGCUCGCCGGAAGACCAAGGGUUCCUGUCCAACGUUAAUCGGGGCAGGGUGAGUCGACCCCUAAGGCGAGGCCGAAAGGCGUAGUCGAUGGGAAACAGGUUAAUAUUCCUGUACUUGGUGUUACUGCGAAGGGGGGACGGAGAAGGCUAUGUUGGCCGGGCGACGGUUGUCCCGGUUUAAGCGUGUAGGCUGGU
rnacentral:rRNA from 1 species